AAAUAUAAACAAAAGACAAAUUUAUAUCAUAAAGAUAAUGACCUCAAAGAAAUAUUAGUCCUAGAUAACGAACGACACAAGAAACCCUUGGGUAACCAUCUAAAAGAUUCGUUUUCGGCAAACUGAAGUAAAUCCUUAUGUCUGGGCAACUUGGAUACAGGACUUAGAAAUGAACCUGAACCACCAGUCGAAUUUCGUCAGAGGGAUGAAUGAUAACUAAACUAAGUUACCACACUUAAUUUCCAAGGUGGGUGCUUCUCAACCCAGCAACACUUAUGACAAAUUCCUGUACCAGAUCGAUGUAUGAUGACGUAACAUGAAAUGGCUGUAAAUACCUGUCUCUCAAUGGAAAUAUCCUUAAUGAUGUAACGUCAUCCUAGCGAGUUAAACUGAGCUUGUGCAGUUUCUAUAUGUUCUGAACUUAUCAAAGGUGAUGUCUGCAGUUUGAAGCUGCCAAAUUAGAUGACAAUGUCAGGUGAGGCAAUAUUGGAGAAUGGAUGGAAUUUAAAACUAAACCUGAUUGGUCAUGGACUUGUUGACAUUCUGUAACUACAUUCAAGAAUGGUCCUUCAAUUAGAGGUUUCGCUGACGUGAGUAUCCUCGAGACCCGAUGUGAAAAGACUUACGAUUGCUACCGCCAGUAUAUUAACUCGGAGCAGCAAGACCCACAUCAGUUCGCCAAAAGGCUGCUCUACUCCACAACAUCUCCACAAGCAGACAUGGGUAAUUCCACCAGCAACAGCAGCGAUGAAACUACGAGUGACAGCUCCAUUGAAAUUCCUUUGCCGUGGCAUAUAUAUACGGCACCGAAGGCUCGGACUAGCCAGAGGACUGCAGAGUCUGUUGUCAACGUAGAAAGAAGAGGAGCGAACAGGGGUGGAAACAGAUCCAACCCGGGACGAUCUUUAACAGGAGGUGCAGCAGGGAGCGUUACUCCCCAGGAUGGUUCCACCGUGAAUGCUGUUACAGCACUACCGAAUGGGUAAAAUGCAAGGGAAACAUUGCCAAGAGGAGGUCUCUGUCAAGUAGGAGGUGCCAAACAACAGCAGACGCUGCUUCACAGGGAAGGAGAGGAGGCCAACCGAAUUGCUUGAAUAGAGGAGAAAAGGCCCGCCGCUUAAUGCUAUUCAGUCGUCUGCUGAAACGGGAUGAAAACAAG